GAUGAACGCUGGCGGCGUGCCUAAUACAUGCAAGUCGAGCGAACGGACGAGAAGCUUGCUUCUCUGAUGUUAGCGGCGGACGGGUGAGUAACACGUGGAUAACCUACCUAUAAGACUGGGAUAACUUCGGGAAACCGUAGCUAAUACCGGAUAAUAUUUUGAACCGCAUGGUUCAAAAGUGAAAGACGGUCUUGCUGUCACUUAUAGAUGGAUCCGCGCUGCAUUAGCUAGUUGGUAAGGUAACGGCUUACCAAGGCAACGAUGCAUAGCCGACCUGAGAGAGUGAUCGGCCACACUGGAACUGAGACACGGUCCAGACUCCUAAGGGAGGCAGCAGUAGGGAAUCUUCCGCAAUGGGCGAAAGCCUGACGGAGCAACGCCGCGUGAGUGAUGAAGGUCUUCGGAUCGUAAAACUCUGUUAUUAGGGAAGAACAUAUGUGUAAGUAACUGUGCACAUCUUGGCGGUACCUAAUCAGAAAGCCACGGCUAACUACGUG
rnacentral:rRNA from 1 species